rnacentral:rRNA from 1 species
CGAGUCCGAGUCUCCACGGAGACGAAGUGGCGGUCAUCCAGCUUCCUAGAAAAGCUCUAACCACGUUAAUCUUUAGUUGCCUGUACCCGAAGCCGACACAGGUAGGGGGGUAGAGAAUACCAAGGGGCGCGAGAUAACUCUCUCUAAGGAACUCGGCAAAAUGACCCCGUAACUUCGGGAGAAGGGGUACCACUGAGAAGUGGUCGCAGUGAAGAGGCCCAGGCGACUGUUUACCAAAAACACAGGUCUCCGCCAAGUCGCAAGACGAAGUAUGGGGGCUGACGCCUGCCCAGUGCCGGAAGGUUAAGGAAGUGGGUUAGGGAUUCGUCCCGAAGCUGACGACUGAAGCCCCGGUGAACGGCGGCCGUAACUAUAACGGUCCUAAGGUAGCGAAAUUCCUUGUCGGGUAAGUUCCGACCCGCACGAAAGGCGUAACGAUCUGGGCGCUGUCUCGGAGAGAGGCUCGGCGAAAUAGGAUUGUCUGUGAAGAUACGGACUACCUGCACCUGGACAGAAAGACCCUAUGAAGCUUUACUGUAGCUUGGAAUUGGGUUCGGGCUUGGUUUGCGCAGGAUAGGUGGGAGGCGAAGAAGAUUUGCUUGUGGGUGAAUCUGAGCCAACGGUGAGAUACCACUCUAACCAGGCUAGAAUUCUAACUUCAACCCGUCAACCGGGGGAAGGACAGUUUCAGGUGGGCAGUUUGACUGGGGCGGUCGCCUCCUAGAAGAUAACGGAGGCGCGCAAAGGUUCCCUCAGGCUGGUUGGAAAUCAGCCAACGAGUGCAAAGGCAGAAGGGAGCUUGACUGCGAGACCUACAAGUCAAGCAGGGUGGAAACACGGUCUUAGUGAUCCGACGGCACCGAGUGGAAGGGCCGUCGCUCAACGGAUAAAAGUUACUCUAGGAUAACAGGCUGAUCUCCCCCAAGAGUUCACAUCGACGGGGAGGUUUGGCACCUCGAUGUCGGCUCAUCGCAACCUGGGGCGGAAGUACGUCCCAAGGGUUGGGCUGUUCGCCCAUUAAAGCGGUACGUGAGCUGGGUUCAGAACGUCGUGAGACAGUUCGGUCCAUAUCCGGUGUAGGCGCAAGAACAUUGAGAGGAGUCUUCCUUAGUACGAGAGGACCGGGAAGAACGCACCGCUGGUGUACCUGUUAUCGUGCCAACGGUAAACGCAGGGUAGCCAAGUGCGGAGUGGAUAACCGCUGAAAGCAUCUAAGUGGGAAGCCCACCUCAAGAUGAGUGUUCUCAUGGAGUAAUCCAGUAAGGUCACGGGAAGACGACCCGUUGAUAGGCGGUAGGUGGAAGUUCAGCAAUGGAUGAAGCCGAGCCGUACUAACAGACC